rnacentral:lncRNA from 1 species
UUUUAUGGAUUCAUUCCACCUUUAUAGCAGUUUCAGUGUUUCCCAGUUAAGUAUUUUGUGUAUUUUCAGCAUAUUGUCGAUCUUGGAGGUGUGUGGUUUAUUAUGGUUGUUUUCUUGUGUGCCCAUGGUUUGUUCGACUGGUUUUGUAUGUUGAAUCGGAGAAUCUUGACCUCCAAGUAUGGAUAUUGUUGUUUCUUUGAUGUUCAUGAGUUUCGAGGGUUGAUUUGAUCAAUUUUUGCUCCAAAUCGGAGGUUUCAUAUCUAAUUUGGGAGAUUUUUGGUCUUAAGAUUGAGGGUUUGAUGGGCCGGAUCCGAGAACACAAAUUUUAACACAAUUUUAUACACUCCAUUUUAGCCCUUGGUUCCAAGAGAUUAAAACUUGGAGACCCAAUUCCCAUUAGAUGCAGUGGAUGCACAAAACUCUCAGAGCGGCCAGGGAUAGCGACCCCCAAACCCUCAAUCUUAAGACCAAAAAUCUCCCAAAUUAGAUAUGAAACCUCCG